rnacentral:rRNA from 1 species
AACGAACGCUGGCGGCAGGCUUAACACAUGCAAGUCGAACGCCCCGCAAGGGGAGUGGCAGACGGGUGAGUAACGCGUGGGAACGUGCCCUUCGCUUCGGAAUAGCCCCGGGAAACUGGGAGUAAUACCGGAUACGCCGUAUUGGGAAAGAUUUAUCGGCGAAGGAUCGGCCCGCGUUGGAUUAGGUAGUUGGCGGUGUAAUGGACCACCAAGCCUACGAUCCAUAGCUGGUCUGAGAGGAUGAUCAGCCACACUGGGACUGAGACACGGCCCAGACUCCUACGGGAGGCAGCAGUGGGGAAUCUUGGACAAUGGGCGCAAGCCUGAUCCAGCCAUGCCGCGUGAGUGAAGAAGGCCUUAGGGUUGUAAAACUCUUUCGCCGGAGAAGAUAAUGACGGUAUCCGGAGAAGAAGCCCCGGCUAACUUCGUGCCAGCCGCCGCAGUAA